GACGUCUGCUGAGUCAUUCGGUUUUUCAUUGCGGCGAACAAACAAAAUUCCUUUCACCUCUGGUGCAUUCGCUGGACGUGUGCGCUCCAGAUAUCUCGGCGCUGGCCGAUAGACAUCACAUUUCAUGGAGCUGCAUGGUCACGCGGCUUCAGGGCUAAAGCGGGAUAAUGAUUUCGGAUCUCGUCAUAAACGGACGCGGCCGCUGUGAACUUCAUCUGCAGCGUUUAUCAGCUGAUGCCGGUCAAAUAACAGACGGGUUGUUUUUGUAUCAGCUGUUGUUUCAUGUUAUGGUCCCACCCCUGGUAUCUGUGGUAACGUGACAUGAUAAUAGUUUCCAUCCUGGCUGUAGUAGACGUACACAUCACUGAAGCUGGCGUACUGUUUUGGAACAUGUGGUCUUAUUUGUUUGUUCCCAGCAUGCCUUGUGGUGAGACGCCAUCUUAGCUUCUCUGUUUCUUUCCUCCAGUCACGUCUUUGUUGUGCAUUUUCUGUGUGGGGUUUAUGUUUGGAGGAGCUUGUAGCUGAGCUUUUGUGCUUCUCUGGAUGACUUGAUACUGAUGCUCUGGAAUCCACCACCCUCCUGAUUUCCACAAUCAACCAGAAUCCAGAUAAUCUCCCCCAUGUGAGUCAUUUUGCUCUGAACAUCUCAUAGUGUAACAUUCUUUGGGCUGCAUUUAUCAUACAUGGGUUUUGUCCCUGAGACAUAUAAAUUUGUUCAUGCUAUGCUUUUUUAUGUUGACAUUCUGUUCUAGACGUAUAACCAAUGCAUUUGUAAUGCACAAACUGGAGAGACACCUGUUUCUGCAACAGGUUAUCGGAGCAGACAGAAGGCAGGGAGGAGCCCCGUCAUUACCUGACACAAUGCCAUUGUCCUCUUAAUGAAGCCAUUGUAUGAGGAGAUCCCAGUGUUUGGGAUUACCCCGCCAGAGCAAACACAACGUGUGUGCGUGUGUCUCAUUCAGCGAUGGGCUCUGCUGCACAACAAUUAAUGACUAUUGACUCUAAACUCAUUUUGUGACUAAAUACGCAAUAAAGAAUUUUUAUAUCUAAUUUAGACAAUUGGAUUGUAAUUAACAUGGAUGUCAUCUUAAAAUUAAGUGAAAAGGUCUUAUCAGUAGUAAAAGGUUGUAAAGCUAAUAUUAUAGUGUAAUAAACAUAUUUUUACCUGCAGCUGUAGCAUGGACAUAUAGUUACUUUGGUUAUAAUAUUUCAGCAUUUUUUCUUAUUUGCUUUGUGUUGCAGACUCACAACAAACAGUGCCGGAUACUGCAGAUAAAAUCCUCACAAGCCGGACUUCGCAUGAACGGCUCAGCUACCAGUUGAAAACUGGUUUGAUGCAGAUGUUUGCAUGAUACGACGCGCGCCCUUUGUUUAUGAAAGCCUGCAGGCGCACUUGUAUGGAAAUCAAAAAAUUACAUUUCAAGUUUCCGUUUAACCGCCAGUCUUGUUGUGCGUGCGUGCGUGUGUCCUGCGGAUGAUCACUACUAUCCUCCCUUGUCUAAUUUGUUUUACAGAGCACCUGGGCCUUUGCUGAGCUCUCUCCAUGUAUGUGUUUUAUUUAAAUGGACCUGCUUUACUGCUAGAUAAACACAGGUGGGGUCCUUUUCUUCUGACAGGACACAGUCAGCGAUAGCGAUACAGACAAGAGACAGUCAAAAGACUGGGUAAAUAAAAUCCUGAGGUUGAAGAGGAAAAAAGCAAAGAGACAAAUAGCUAAUUUAUGAGAAAAAAAAGGUUUUAUCAUUUUCCUCUGAUCAUGAAUGUGUUGGUAACAACUCGUUGGAAAGUCAGUGAAAUGACUACAAAGAGACUCAGAACUAGACACAAAACCUCAAACAAAGGCAGACACAAAACGACCAGAGCUGCUACACGGCCACAAAGAAAUGCAAAAUGAUCCACACCUAGUGCAGGGACACAACAUGACACGACAAACCACAAGGAAGCAGAAGGUUACUGGAGACACACAAACCUACACAAAGAGACACACAGCAACCUCAGAGAUGCACGUGAAGAACUAUGAAGAAGCACAAGAGCCAGAGCUUUGUGAAAAUAAGUAGUUUUGGUGACUGCACUCAUAAAAUGUCCCGAAGCAUGAAUAAAGUGCUGGGAUGACUCUGAAAUGAUCAGGUUAACUGCUGAGUGUAGGACCAACCAUUAUAGAUCUCUCGGAGAGUCUCAGGACGUGACCCGGUGCCUGAGGGUCCUGGUCCACGCUCCCCUAGGCCUCAGAAGGUCUCAGACUGCGUGGGUGUAGCAUUCCUGAAGCCCUGGAGGUUUCUGCCCUGAAGCCAUAAAUCUACAGGACCCUCAGAAGUUCCAGAUACUCCACUGAGAAGCACUGGACCAGACUUCAGGCUUCAGACAACAGGCCUCCCUCCUGAAUUCAAACGGGUUCAUGUUGCUAUUUUAGAUCAAACCACACCAACACAGACAGCACGCGGAUGCCCACAACCCGCCUCGGCCAACCAGAAACCAUGUUUUGCGUGUCUUCCUGCCUUUGCUCCAUGACCUCGCCUCGCUAGAAUGUCUGCCGCGCGUCUGUUUGACAGCCGAAACCGUGCGAGCGCUGCCGUUCGAGCCGCCGCAAGCAGGUACGGGCAAGACUGGAAAGUCAGGGGCUGAGAGCCGCCGAAUACCUUGAUCUGUUUGUGUGUGUUUGUGUCCCAGCGAGAGGCGAAGGACGUAUCCCACAUACCAGGAGUUUUUUUCAGCAGAGCAGCGCAGCUUGUUAGGACUUGGCCGAGAUUCGUUUACCUGCACAGGGGCUGAAGCCUCCAGUUCAGACAGAGGCAGAGGUGUUGGGAGAUGUGCUGUCCUCCAGCGGGACGACAGAGGAGCAAAAGGAGGGAGGGCCCGAUGGAUCAGCUGGGAGGGCGACUGUCGCUGAUGGAAGUUCUGGAAUCAAUUACAAACAGUUCUUUUAAAUAUGUCAUUUUUAUAUCUUUCUUAAUUUUUGUAUUUCUUUUUCUUUUUCAUCAGGAGGAUAAAAAAACCACCUUCCUCUGAUUUAUGCCGAUUCUAACGUCAUCCUCAGUAUAUGUCUUCAACAGUGUUGUCAUGGCGAUAGCUCGGUGAUCAAUAAAAAUUCACCAUUACAUUUA